GACGGAGGAUGCAAGCGUUAUCCGGAAUUAUUGGGCGUAAAGCGUACGUAGGCGGCUUAUCAAGUCUGGGGUCAAAGACCACAGCUUAACUGUGGAAAGGCCUUGGAAACUGGUGAGCUGGAGUGAGGUAGGGGUUGCGGGAAUUCCCGGUGUAGCGGUGAAAUGCGUAGAUAUCGGGAAGAACACCUGAGGCGAAAGCGCGCGACUGGGCCUUAACUGACGCUGAGGUACGAAAGCUAGGGGAGCGAAAGGG
rnacentral:rRNA from 1 species